GAGACAUAGAAGUAAACCUUCCAGUUGUCCGACGACCCAUGGCCGGAAACAACAUCAAGAAUCCGGGAGCCAGCUUGUUUUGCUUGUUCAAUCCCUUGAGCCGUCAAAGGGAUUUUGUAAUCUGGGGUUACGCCGUAUGCUGCAUCGUCCUUGUUCCCUUGGCUCUCGCCGUGACGGACCAAGAUUAUACGCUUUGGUAGGUGGUACUUUUGUGUUGGAACGUCUGUGCUUUCAGUUGUGCUGUUUAUCAUGGUUCGUCUUCCUUUGAUUGUUUUGUAAAAG
rnacentral:misc_RNA from 1 species